UUUUUUUUUGUGUGUGCUCUGCUUGCUGCUCAAAUUCCCAUCCGAAAGGAAAAAGCCCCAAAGCUCCCUUCUUUCACUUGAAGCCCUCUUUGCGCAAUUCACUCGAAGCUCUCGUUUUUCACUCGAAGCCCUAAGGACGAAUUCUUCCCUCAUUGAGCAACAGUACUCUCCAAAUUAGAACUUUAGGUUUUGGAUUUUUGGAAGAAUUUGUUUCUUUGUACAAGAAUCACAGUUUGCUUCUCGAGAAAUCGUCCUGAUUCAGCUUGCACAAAAACUCCAUCUAGAUACAAAUAAAGAUGACCCUGAAGCUGAAGAGAAGUUCCGAGAAGUUCAAAAGGCUUAUGAGAUGAAGAAGUUGAUGAGUCGCCCUCAGUUCUUGGGGAAAAUGGAGAAGAUGGUUUUAUACCGAAGAGCUUUACA